rnacentral:rRNA from 1 species
AUUGAACGCUGGCGGCAUGCUUUACACAUGCAAGUCGAACGGUAACAGGCCGCAAGGUGCUGACGAGUGGCGAACGGGUGAGUAAUGCAUCGGAACGUGCCCAGUCGUGGGGGAUAACGCAGCGAAAGCUGCGCUAAUACCGCAUACGAUCUCUGGAUGAAAGCGGGGGACCGAAAGGCCUCGCGCGAUUGGAGCGGCCGAUGUCAGAUGAGGUAGUUGGUGGGGUAAAGGCUCACCAGGCCAACGAUCUGUAGCUGGUCUGAGAGGACGACCAGCCACACUGGGACUGAGACACGGCCCAGACUCCUACGGGAGGCAGCAGUGGGGAAUUUUGGACAAUGGGCGCAAGCCUGAUCCAGCAAUGCCGCGUGCAGGAAGAAGGCCUUCGGGUUGUAAACUGCUUUUGUACGGAACGAAACGGUCCUGGUUAAUACCUGGGGCUAAUGACGGUACCGUAAGAAUAAGCACCGGCUAACUACGUGCCAGCCGCCGCCGUAACAC